CCUACGGGCGGCUGCAGUGGGGAAUAUUGGACAAUGGGCGAAAGCCUGAUCCAGCCAUGCCGCGUGUGUGAAGAAGGCCUUCGGGUUGUAAAGCACUUUCAGUGGGGAAGAAAGCCUUGGGGCUAAUACCCUCGAGGAAGGACAUCACCCACAGAAGAAGCACCGGCUAACUCCGUGCCAGCAGCCGCGGUAAUACGGAGGGUGCGAGCGUUAAUCGGAAUUACUGGGCGUAAAGCGCGCGUAGGCGGUCUGAUAAGCCGGUUGUGAAAGCCCCGGGCUCAACCUGGGAACGGCAUCCGGAACUGUCAGGCUAGAGUGCAGGAGAGGAAGGUAGAAUUCCCGGUGUAGCGGUGAAAUGCGUAGAGAUCGGGAGGAAUACCAGUGGCGAAGGCGGCCUUCUGGACUGACACUGACGCUGAGGUGCGAAAGCGUGGGUAGCAAACAGGAUUUAGAUACCCUUGUAGUC
rnacentral:rRNA from 1 species